UGCAGUCGAGCGGACAGAUGGGAGCUUGCUCCCUGAUGUUAGCGGCGGACGGGUGAGUAACACGUGGGUAACCUGCCUGUAAGACUGGGAUAACUCCGGGAAACCGGGGCUAAUACCGGAUGGUUGUUUGAACCGCAUGGUUCAAACAUAAAAGGUGGCUUCGGCUACCACUUACAGAUGGACCCGCGGCGCAUUAGCUAGUUGGUGAGGUAACGGCUCACCAAGGCGACGAUGCGUAGCCGACCUGAGAGGGUGAUCGGCCACACUGGGACUGAGACACGGCCCAGACUCCUACGGGAGGCAGCAGUAGGGAAUCUUCCGCAAUGGACGAAAGUCUGACGGAGCAACGCCGCGUGAGUGAUGAAGGUUUUCGGAUCGUAAAGCUCUGUUGUUAGGGAAGAACAAGUACCGUUCGAAUAGGGCGGUACCUUGACGGUACCUAACCAGAAAGCCACGGCUAACUACGUGCCAGCAGCCGCGGUAAUACGUAGGUGGCAAGCGUUGUCCGGAAUUAUUGGGCGUAAAGGGCUCGCAGGCGGUUUCUUAAGUCUGAUGUGAAAGCCCCCGGCUCAACCGGGGAGGGUCAUUGGAAACUGGGGAACUUGAGUGCAGAAGAGGAGAGUGGAAUUCCACGUGUAGCGGUGAAAUGCGUAGAGAUGUGGAGGAACACCAGUGGCGAAGGCGACUCUCUGGUCUGUAACUGACGCUGAGGAGCGAAAGCGUGGGGAGCGAACAGGAUUAGAUACCCUGGUAGUCCACGCCGUAAACGAUGAGUGCUAAGUGUUAGGGGGUUUCCGCCCCUUAGUGCUGCAGCUAACGCAUUAAGCACUCCGCCUGGGGAGUACGGUCGCAAGACUGAAACUCAAAGGAAUUGACGGGGGCCCGCACAAGCGGUGGAGCAUGUGGUUUAAUUCGAAGCAACGCGAAGAACCUUACCAGGUCUUGACAUCCUCUGACAAUCCUAGAGAUAGGACGUCCCCUUCGGGGGCAGAGUGACAGGUGGUGCAUGGUUGUCGUCAGCUCGUGUCGUGAGAUGUUGGGUUAAGUCCCGCAACGAGCGCAACCCUUGAUCUUAGUUGCCAGCAUUCAGUUGGGCACUCUAAGGUGACUGCCGGUGACAAACCGGAGGAAGGUGGGGAUGACGUCAAAUCAUCAUGCCCCUUAUGACCUGGGCUACACACGUGCUACAAUGGACAGAACAAAGGGCAGCGAAACCGCGAGGUUAAGCCAAUCCCACAAAUCUGUUCUCAGUUCGGAUCGCAGUCUGCAACUCGACUGCGUGAAGCUGGAAUCGCUAGUAAUCGCGGAUCAGCAUG
rnacentral:rRNA from 2 species